CACCCACAAGGUGGCCGGGAACGAACGUCGACAAUUAACGAAAUCAUCUGGAUCUAAUAGCAGCAACAUUCAUCACAUUUUUAGCUAAUGCACUUCUGGCAUAAACACUUGAUUCCGAGGAAAAAGUAGCGUCUACUCGUUGAUCGUCGUUAUUAUCCAUCAUUGCUACAAUCUGUUAAAGCAAUGAGUGCAAUUUUUUUGCUUAUUUAAAAUACCCGCAACAAAAGUAUAGAACCUCUAACGAUUGUGUUGGGCAAAGACUCGCGGGAAUCAACCGUGGUAAAAUCUAAGUUUCCUGUUUUUCGGAUAAUUAGGGCAGCACCGAGGUAUGGCAAAAAAAAGGAAAUUUUUAUAAAGUAUAAGAAAUCAACCGAAAGUUUCAAAUCUACUCCACUAGUAUCGGACGCCACCACUAAACCUGAUCCUCAAGUAGAUGAACUGGCUAAUCAAUUGGAGCAGAUUAAGUUAAAGAGACAAAACCAAUCUAACUGAACAGCCUGCCAACGAUAUUACAUUUUGUACAUCAUUACAUCGCGUGAAUAAUAAUCCUGCCGACGUACAUCAAGUAGUAAACGCUAUAGAAUGCCUGUCUGAUAAGUGAGCAUUCCAAAUUUAGUAACGAAAGCAGCGUAUCUUCGGCAUCGUAGACAUCUCUCCUGGUAUACUGGAAACUUUCGUUGUCAUCGCUCGCAGAUAAAAUUCGUAAAAUUUCGGCUCAUCACCAUCUUCUGCAACUGCAAUCGAUGGCCACUGGAAAUACUUUAGUCGAUAGCAGCAGGGCCUCAAAUCAGAGUCCGUCAAAAAAUAAGUUGUGCAGUGUAGUUUCGAAUAUUAUAGUCCCUAGAGGACCAAAUUCGCAGUUUGGAUAGUCUUGUCCAGAAACUUCCGGUUUAACCAAACUAGUGAUUAUACUCAAGAAACUAAAGAAGCCUGGUGCCUAGAUAAACAUGGCUAACGUGCGGCAUUUCUAUUGUUUUCUCCAGCUUUCCCAUUUCAAGCACACAUAUCAAUACUACCGGCAGCAACUGCACCAUUAAGAAAGUCCUAUAACUUCCCGGAAAGCGCGCCAUCAGUCAAAUAUUCACGUCAUCGAAAGGCAAGAAUCUUAUUCCGGGCGGCAAGAGAUUAUACUUUAGCCUGCCAGUGGCAGUAUAUCAGAAUGGUGCGAGAAUUUCAAGCAUAGCCACCCGUUCUUGUUUUAACCCGACACACACUAUCUGUAUUUCAACUUUCCAAGUUAUGGAGCAUCCCGAAGUAUCGUAUGAUUACAGUUUCAACUUGACGUAAAUCUAGAAAGAUAACCUAGACCUAAGCUUUGAACAGCACGAGUUCCGAGCUGGACGACUGAAGUAGGAACAGGGCACUUCAACCCCGUGGUGAAAACCUACUCGAAUUCGCUCAGCAGGUUAUGAAGGAGCACAGCAACUGUAAAUCUAUGCUCUAGGUAUGAGUCGUCGAAAAGAAAGAAAUCGGGAGUUUCUCACUGGAACUUUAUGCUUUCAUUGCAUUCAAUUGAGUUUAUAUAUAACAUUUUUGUGACUUUGUUCGAUUUUAACUUUCGUAAAGUUAUUGGGUAUGUAUCAU